AGUAAUUAGAAUACUAAAAAGUAGCUGAACCCAGAAAUCAAAAUCCCGUGAGAGUUUCGAAAAGUGCAAAACUCAGUUGUGUAACUUGGAGAAUAUGGCUGGCCGGGCUGUGCGAGGAGUCCUGUCUGCGGCGGCAGAAGAAGUUGUAAUUGAUGGGAUUGAAACUAAUCCUGAUCGUGUUCGACACUUUCUGGCAGGGGAGAUCCUCACGACGAAAUCCCUUAAUAAGGGUACUAUUGUCGGCAAAAGCUAGCAUUGGUGUUCAGAAAUCAAUCUUGUUCUCCCUUGUUUGCUACCUUCUUCUCAUUGAUAAGGUAAAGUUAUUUCAAUUUUGUUCUUUUGUUUCUGAAAUUGAUCUAGUCGCAGAUUUUUUGUUGUUGUUUUUGUGAGGUAACUACUGGUAGUUUAUAAGGUUGUUGCUGUAUAUAUGUUUGCUAGUCUAUGUUUUCCUUUUGGAGAUUUUGGCAAUGGGGUUGAUUUCGGUGUGUGGCAGCAGCCUCAUUUCCAAGUUGGGUUUUUCUGGGUUCUUUCAGUAAAACAGAUCUAGGGGUUUGAUUUUUGUUCUUACCUGCGGAGGAGGCUGAAGAGGGCUUUCAAUCUCAAUUUAAGGAAAGUUUUUAUGAUCAAACCAGUGUAUGUGAUGAUUGAUGCCAAUACAGACAAAGGUUGAAAUGGUUGUGACACAAGGAGAUGAAGAAGGGAAGAAGAUUGCAGCAAUGGUGAGGCAGAUUGGGGCUUCUAAGUUUGUUCUUGGACUCCAUGAUCACAGCUUUCUUUACAAGUUGGCAAUGGCCCAAGGCAACAAUACUGCAAACAACUUCAUGAAUUGCAGAGUCCUAGCCAUCAAGCAACCAUCUUCUUCACCAUUGAGGAUCAACAAGGCCAGUGCUCCUAGUGAUCAAAAAGUUUUCAGUACCUGAUAUGUAACUUUUCAAGUUACUGUCUUUAUAAAGUACUGGCUGAUAAGCAUGUAACAUAUAUUUAUGCUACUUAUUUACUUGCC